CACGGUCACUCUGUAGAGUAUAUUGGCAAGCAUGAACACUAUGAAUGUACAAAUGUAAUGCCCCAAUUCGCUGAACCAAAACGUUACACGAUGCUUAUGAACCCGAAGGACCACAAUCUAACCCAUGACUGAUAUCUCUACCUGUAUACUGCAUAAUAUAAUAUGAAAAUGCGAAAACAUGCACUAAAAGGCCAUAAGGUUCGCAACUGAACAUAAUCUGAAAUAUAUGAUAUUUGAUAAGGGUAAUGGAAUACCCAAAACAAAAUGAAAAUACUGAAAUCAUGAUAGUCUGCAUCUAGUCUAAAAGUCUCUACUGUCUGAAUAAUCUGAAUAAGGAGUUGAUGGGACAUGCCCCCAACUAACUCCAACUAAUAAACUAAUAAAUGAGAUUUAUAAAGAAACAAUCAUGUCCUCGAAGGAUGAGGACUCACUUCUGACUCUAGCUACUGAAAACUGGGAUCUACAGUUGAUUUGGAGCAUGUGUUUCUGAACCUAUGGUGUAACAUAAAAGAAAGCACCAUAGAGCGAAUGCGUUAGUACAUAUGUACCAAGUAUACAUGUGAGGUAGGCUAAAUUCAAUGGUUCAUAUGCAUGAAUAAUGCUAACUGACUUUCUAACAUGAACGUGAGAAUACAUGCAUAAAUACGUAACUGUAACUGACAACGUGAUAUCAUGAUUUACUGAGUCUGAAUACUGAUAACAUAACAUGAUUGAUAACAUGAAUGCCUGAAUCUGAAUGUGACUGAUGACAUGGGUGACUGUAUCUGAUAGUCCUGAAUCUGAUUGAAUUAUCUAAGUUUUGUAAUGUAUCUGAGGUGACUGUAGCUAACAGUCCUAAAAUCUGAAGAACUAUUUGAGUUCUAUUACUAAGAUUGAUUGACUGUGACUGAUAGUCCUGAUUUUGUAACAUGAAACUGUGGAAAGUAGUAUUUAACCGACAUGCCCCAAAGGUGCUAUAAUAGCUGAGCUGAGGUCCAAUCUAUGCCCUGAUUGGAAGGGUGUCAAUACCACGCCACUAGUCAAGACAACAUAUGAGUAACCUUUAUAUAAUAGGUAACUCUAGUGAGAACGGUGGGAACUCUCAUAUAACAGGUUAAGUACCUCAUCUACCCUCAUAUAGCAGGUUACGAUGUCUCAACCUACGCUGGCUACAUAGUUCUGGAAAACAAGGAUUGCUUCUUGGAAUCACACCCUCAUAUAGCAGGUGGGUUCCCAUCCUUGGGUUCACUUUGUGCUAAUCCCUACUCCCAUCUAAAUAGAUACUAAACAUGAUGUGUCGAAGCUGAUCAUGAGCUAUGUUACUGAAUUUUGCUGACUGAUGAAAUGCUACUGAUAUCUGACAACUGAUUGAAUCAUGAGAUCAUGGAGAUAUUUCCUGAGUCGUAAGACUAUAUGAAGUCUAAGAGUUCAUAGCUUGACUCAGAGUAUCAUGAAAACAUGACAUGGUUCUAGGCACACAGCUAAUGUUUCGGGUACAAGUACCCCCAGGACUCGAUAGAAGGAGUCUUAUAUAGCAUGAUUUACUUGAAGACUUGAAUGACUUCAUAAUACAUACUACAUUCAUAGGAGCAUUUCAUCAAACAUGUAAUAGGCAUAAACUUGUACAUACAUAGGGAUUUCAUGAUAUCAUGCUUGUUAGACAAUAUUCCUUCAUCUAGGCAUUUAAUCAAACACAUUAUAGGCAUGGUACAUAUAAACAUCAUUAUUCAAUUCUAAAUUCCUCAUUCAAGGGUUUAAAUCUUACGGUUGCAUGAAUCUAUGGCUAUAGUAAUUAAACCCACAUAGAAAUUAUCAACAAUCAUGGAAUAGAAUCCAAUUUCAUGUAGAAAAUCCAUAACUUGAGUUUAGAAAAGGGAUUCUUAGACUUCAUGGACGAAAAGGGGGUCCAUGAAUGAACACUAUGCAUACCUGGGAUAAUGUUCUUGAACUUGGAGAAGUGAAAAUCCCUUAAUUCUUGAAAAGGAUUGUAUUGUGUUCGUGGAGAUUAAAUUUAUAGAGAAACCCAAAUUUUUCUUGUGAAAUAAUAAUGGAUAAAGUGGCUGAAGUCGUGAAUAAAUGGGUAUAUAUAGAUGGGUGCUAAAUGACCAAAAUACCCCUAUUAAAAUGACCUGGAACAGGUGAACAUAAAAUUUAAUGGUGGCCUCCGACGGUCCGUCGGACCUGCGACAGUCCGUUGGGCCACGCCGUCGAACCUGGGCAGAACCUGAAGCCACUGGAAGCCUCUGACGGUGGACUCCGACGAUCUGUCGGGCCAUGCCGUCGGAAAGGAAUAUAAACUGUGUCCACUGCAUCCAUUUGACGGCGAUCUCCGAAGGCCAAUCGGGCUACCGACGGCACAUCAAAUUCUACCGUCGGAAUGGUGCAGUCUGACUGUUUCCAUAAAAAGUCCAUAACUUCCUCAUCUGACACUGGAUUUGAUAAAAUUGGUAUCGAUGGAAAGCUUAAAUAAUUUUUCACGUGAUGGAAAGUGAAAAUCAUAAAAAUAUCACGUGUAUAAAAAUAAAUUCAUAUUUCAAAGUAAGUUCAAACAUCCUGGUGAUGAUUUCAAGCUAAGAAAAGGCAUGGGUAUUACAAUAAACCAACAAACAAACAAUCAAACAAACAAAACCAAAAUUAGUGUUCAGUCAAAUUUAUUAUAGACCCAAAAUAAAAAGGUACUAAAAUGUAAACCUACGCUAACCUACACUAAUCCAAAAUUACGCUCUAAUACUUUACCCGAUGCCUUGGGCCUUGAUCACAAACCUCUUUUGUGUACAUGAUACUUCAGGGCAUUCCCCAAUGAAUAAGUACAAUGUGACCUCGGGAAAUUCCCUGACGAAUGAAUACAUUUGAUGAAAUGUAAUAAAAGUGGAGAAAAUCAUUCAACACAGACAUUCACACAUUCAAUGAUAUAGAAUCCUACAAGUUGCCUACCCUAAAACCUAAAAUUUGCCUAUCGAUUUUAGCUUAAAACAUGACACUAUCGGGUUCAACAACAUAAUCAGUGUUCAUUUCAAAUGACAUAACCAUCAAUGAAUCAAACUAAUCAAUAUUCACCUUUGUUAAUUUUCAAUUCCCACCCCUCCUUUAUUCUCAAAUUACCAAUUGCAAAUCUUAAACUAGAUAUCAUUUCAUCACACAAUACAUAACCAAUGGAACUAAUAAUGAAUCAAAACUAAGCAACUAUUCACCAACAACAAGGAUCAAGCAACACACGAUAUUCAAUCCAACACACCAAAUAUAAUAAAUAAUGAAAUAAAAAGAGGAAAAGAGUAGAAUUGAACCUCAAUUAUCGAUUUUGAUAUAUCGAACAUAGAACCGUAUCCAAAAUCCCUCGAUUUGAACCUCAAUAAAGAACUCCACAUGGACCUCGAUAUACUCCCUCGAUUCUAUUUUCUGCCAACUUGAAUAAAAAAUGCGAACCAACAAUAAACCGUACCAAAUUUGUGCCAAACGAUCCCCGUUUCACUCGUUUACCGGUAGAUUCCAUCAGAAUCAAACCAAAACAAGUCGAGUUCAAUUGGUUUUUCAGUUGUUGGGUCGUGGGAGCUCUGGUGAUAAGCGUUUUCCAGUGGUUUUAGGUGACGGUUUGGUCAUCUUUCUCCGGUGAAUCAAUGGAGCUAGUUUAGGAGUGGGUCUGAUUGGCGUCGAAGACGGAUUCAUCGCCAAAACAGUGAUCCCCACUGGCUAUUUCUCUCUUUUCUCUCUAAUUCCUCUCUGUUUUUGAUCACUCUCCUGCUCCUUCACUCUUUUUUUUCUGUUUCUACCCACUGUGUCUGUGUCUACAUCCGAUUAUAGGUGUUGUUUCGUGGUGAGCUGUGUGUUUCCAUGGAAAGAUGAAUUCUGUGUGUGUGUUAUUGUGUAGAAGAGAAUGGUGGUGAGGUCCCUAUUGUGUGAUUGUGUGUGUAUAUGUAACUUUUGUGAGAUGGGUAUUGUCUCCUGUAUGUAUAUUGUAUGGGUGUAUAUUG
rnacentral:lncRNA from 1 species